AUGAGAUUGUGGCUGAAUCUUCUCUUGGCUCUAGCGGCCCUUCCAGAUGUCCGGUCCCAGGUUCUUCUGGUGGAGUCCGGAGGUGGAAUUCAGAAGCCCGGAGACUCUCUCCGCCUCUCCUGCAAAGCCUCCGGGUUCACCUUCAGCAGCUACCAUAUGAGCUGGGUCCGUCAGGCGCCCGGGAAGGGCCUGGAGUGGGUCGCACUGAUAUACAACUCUGCUAGUAGCCACAGCACGUUUUACAGUGAUGCGGUUAAAGGGCGAUUCACCAUCUCCAGAGACGACUCCAACAGCCUGGUGUAUCUGCAAAUGACCGGCCUGAAAGCGGAAGACACCGCCCGGUAUUACUGUGCGAGAGACACAGCGAUCAGAAAUCAACUGCAGGGCCGCUCCCAGGUGGUUCUGACCCAGUCGGGGCCAGCGCUGAAGCAGGCCGGAGAGUCCCAUACGCUGCAACGUGCCACCAGCGGGUUCGCUCUGAGCAGCACCUGGAUGGGCUGGGUCAGACGGGAGCCCGGGAAGGGGCUGGGGUGGCUGGCCAGGUACUAUGAUCCCUCCAUCCACUGUUACGCCUCCUCCAUCCAGGGGAGAUCUGCAGCCUCCAAGGACAGCAACACCUUCCGCUUGCACAUGAACAGCCUGAAAGCCAAGGACACCGCUGUGUAG